rnacentral:rRNA from 1 species
UACGGAGGGUGCAAGCGUUAAUCGGAAUUACUGGGCGUAAAGCGUGCGCAGGCGGUUUGUUAAGUCCGCUGUGAAAUCCCCGAGCUCAACUUGGGAAUUGCAGUGGAUACUGGCAAGCUGGAGUAUGGUAGAGGAAGGUGGAAUUCCCGGUGUAGCAGUGAAAUGCAUAGAGAUCGGGAGGAACACCAGUGGCGAAGGCGGCCUUCUGGACCAAUACUGACGCUCAUGCACGAAAGCGUGGGGAGCAAACAGG